AAUUAUAGGAUACUCCGUCGAAUUGUUAAGGAAAUACGCCUGACUGCACGAAAUCAUCUGACUCAGAAUCAGAUGUUGACGAGGAGUUUAUAAAACACUUGUUCAGCGAUGAUAUGCUGAAAAAGGUUACUUCAGGUGACAGUGAGGACAAAAGUGAAUUAAGAAGCAGCAAUGAAAAACCCUCUUCAAGCCAUAAAGAGUCAAAGAAGUCUUUGGAAGCGCCUUUAUGCCGAUAGAAGAAGCAGAAAUAAAGAAACCCUUACAAACAGACAACUCCUCUGAACUUAUUUUGUUCUGUAGCCCCAUUCUAGAACCGUCGCCCGACAAGUUUUGUCUUUAUAGUGACAUCCAGGGGAUCUCUGGACAUU